rnacentral:rRNA from 1 species
GAUGAACGCUGGCGGCGUGCCUAAUACAUGCAAGUCGAGCGAACAGACGAGGAGCUUGCUCCUCUGACGUUAGCGGCGGACGGGUGAGUAACACGUGGAUAACCUACCUAUAAGACUGGGAUAACUUCGGGAAACCGGAGCUAAUACCGGAUAAUAUAUUGAACCGCAUGGUUCAAUAGUGAAAGACGGUUUUGCUGUCACUUAUAGAUGGAUCCGCGCCGCAUUAGCUAGUUGGUAAGGUAACGGCUUACCAAGGCAACGAUGCGUAGCCGACCUGAGAGGGUGGUUGGCCAAAACGGAACUGAGACCACGUCCCGAAUCCUAAGGGAGGCCGGAGUAGGGAAUCCUCCGCCAUGGGCCAAAGCUCGACGGAGCCAACGCCGGUGAGUGAAGAAGGUCUUCGGAUUCUAAAAACCCGUUAUUAGGGAAGAAAAAAAGUGUAAGUAAAUAUUGCCCUUUUGACGGUAACCAAUUCAAAAGCCCACGCCUACCACCUU